CCUCCAGCAGGUGCCGGGGCUCAGCUGUGUUGGGGUUCUUGUGAAUGGACAACUGGUACUUGUUGGUGGAGUCAAAGGGUAUCUCGAUGAUUCUGGGGUACCGCUCUCUCAUCUCCUUCAAGGACUCACAAC